AUUGAACGCUGGCGGCAGGCCUAACACAUGCAAGUCGAGCGGAUGACGGGAGCUUGCUCCUUGAUUCAGCGGCGGACUGGUGAGUAAUUCCUAGGAAUCUGCCUGGUAGUCGGGGACAACGGUUCGAAAGGAACGCUAAUACCGCAUACGCCGUACGGGAGAAAGCAGGGGACCGUCGGGCCGUGCGCUAUCAGCUCAGCCCGGGUCGGAUUAGCCAGUUGGUGGGGUAAUGGCUCACCAAGGCGACGAUCCGUAACUGGUCUGAGCGGAUGAUCAGUCACACUGGAACUGAGACACGGUCCAGACUCCUACGGGAGGCAGCAGUGGGGAAUAUUGGACAAUGGGCGAAAGCCUGAUCCAGCCAUGCCGCGUGUGUGAAGAAGGUCUUCGGAUUGUAAAGCACUUUAAGUUGGGAGGAAGGGCAGUAAGUUAAUACCUUGCUGUUUUGACGUUACCGACAGAAUAAGCACCGGCUAACUCUGUGCCAGCAGCCGCAGUAA
rnacentral:rRNA from 1 species